UACGUAGGGGGGCUAGCGUUGUCCGGAAUCAUUGGGCGUAAAGAGCGUGUAGGCGGCCCGGUAAGUCCGCUGUGAAAGUCGGGGGCUCAACCCUCGAAUGCCGGUGGAUACUGUCGGGCUAGAGUGCGGAAGAGGCGAGUGGAAUUCCUGGUGUAGCGGUGAAAUGCGCAGAUAUCAGGAGGAACACCAAUUGCGAAGGCAGCUCGCUGGGACGUAACUGACGCUGGAGACGCGAAAGCGUGGGGAGCAAACAGG
rnacentral:rRNA from 1 species